AGGACGAACGCUGGCGGCGUGCUUAACACAUGCAAGUCGAGCGAGGCUCCUCCUUCGGGAGGAUGUCCUAGCGGCGAACGGGUGAGUAACACGUGGGCAACCUGCCCCUAGCUCUGGGAUAACCCCGGGAAACCGGGGCUAAUACCGGAUAUGACUUCUCAAGGCAUCUCGAGAAGUGGAAAAGGUUUACUGGCUAGGGAUGGGCCCGCGGCCUAUCAGCUUGUUGGUGGGGUAAUGGCCUACCAAGGCGACGACGGGUAGCCGGCCUGAGAGGGCGACCGGCCACACUGGGACUGAGACACGGCCCAGACUCCUACGGGAGGCAGCAGUGGGGAAUAUUGCACAAUGGGCGAAAGCCUGAUGCAGCGACGCCGCGUGAGGGAUGACGGCCUUCGGGUUGUAAACCUCUUUCAGCAGGGACGAAGCGCAAGUGACGGUACCUGCAGAAGAAGCACCGGCCAACUACGUGCCAGCAGCCGCGGUAA
rnacentral:rRNA from 1 species